rnacentral:rRNA from 1 species
CAGCCGCCGCGGGAAUACGUAGGUGGCAAGCGUUGUCCGGAUUUAUUGGGCGUAAAGCGAGCGCAGGCGGUUCCUUAGGUCUGAUGUGAAAGCCCCCGGCUCAACCGGGGAGGGUCAUUGGAAACUGGGGAACUUGAGUGCAGAAGAGGAGAGUGGAAUUCCAUGUGUAGCGGUGAAAUGCGUAGAUAUAUGGAGGAACACCAGUGGCGAAGGCGACUCUCUGGUCUGUAACUGACGCUGAGGCUCGAAAGCGUGGGUAGCAAACAGGAUUAGAGACCCCUGUAGCCCUGUCUCUUAUACA